GACGAACCGUGCGAACGUUAUUCGGAAUCACUGGGCUUAAAGCGCGUGUAGGCGGAUGAGCACGUCUGUCGCUGAAAUCCCCCGGCUCAACCGGGGAACGGGCGCGGAUACGGCUCGUCUCGAGGGGCGUAGGGGGACCUGGAACUUCCGGUGGAGCGGUGAAAUGCGUUGAUAUCGGAAGGAACGCCGGUGGCGAAAGCGCACGACUGGAUCUCUUCUGACGCUGAGGCGCGAAAGCCAGGGGAGCAAACGGG
rnacentral:rRNA from 1 species